rnacentral:rRNA from 1 species
UACGUAGGUGACAAGCGUUAUCCGGAAUUACUGGGCGUAAAGCGCACGCAGGCGGUGUGGUAAGUCUGAUGUGAAAUCUCCUGGCUUAACUGGGAGGGGUCAUUGGAAACUGCCGUACUUGAGGCGAUGAGAGGGGUGUAGAAUUCCCGGUGUAGUGGUGGAAUGCGUAGAUAUCGGGAGGAAUACCAGUGGCGAAAGCGACACCCUGGCAUUAGCCUGACGCUCAGGUGCGAAGGCGUGGGGAGCGAACGGG